AGUCGCCUGUCCCUUGGAAGAGAGCAGUGGGCGCCUUGGCCUGGGGUAGGUGAGGGGACCCGGCGAGGUGCGAACAGCCGAUAAUAAUAACCUCGGCUCCCGGAGCGUUUCUUGCGUGCUGAGCAUCAUACUAACGCCUUUCCAGGUAUUGUCCCUUUUAGUCCUCGCAGCAACCUAAGGUUAUUGUAAACCCAUUUUACCAGUGAUGUGAAUGAGCCGCAAUGAAGGCUAAGGGACUUGCGCAAGGUGACAUAUAUAAGCAACAGGCCUGCGAUUGGAAUCCAGGCCCCAGAGUCUGGGCACGGAACCGCAGACUUCUACGGUCUCCUUCCAAGCUAGCCUGCUCCAAUCGCGCGCCCCCGCUCCGGCCGCGCACGCACGGUUCAGCCGCCUUCUUCCAAGACAGUCCAGUCUUGGCGGGCUCCCAUCUGCCUCCCACCUCCCCCGCCCCUAGGCCCAUGCCCG
rnacentral:lncRNA from 10 species